AACAGGAUUAGAUACCCUGGUAGUCCACGCCGUAAACGAUGUCGACUUGGAGGUUGUUCCCUUGAGGAGUGGCUUCCGGAGCUAACGCGCUAAGUCGACCGCCUGGGGAGUACGGCCGCAAGGUUAAAACUCAAAUGAAUUGACGGGGGCCCGCACAAGCGGUGGAGCAUGUGGUUUAAUUCGAUGCAACGCGAAGAACCUUACCUACUCUUGACAUCCACGGAAUUCGGCAGAGAUGCCUUAGUGCCUUCGGGAACCGUGAGACAGGUGCUGCAUGGCUGUCGUCAGCUCGUGUUGUGAAAUGUUGGGUUAAGUCCCGCAACGAGCGCAACCCUUAUCCUUUGUUGCCAGCGAUUCGGUCGGGAACUCAAAGGAGACUGCCGGUGAUAAACCGGAGGAAGGUGGGGAUGACGUCAAGUCAUCAUGGCCCUUACGAGUAGGGCUACACACGUGCUACAAUGGCGCAUACAAAGAGAAGCGACCUCGCGAGAGCAAGCGGACCUCAUAAAGUGCGUCGUAGUCCGGAUCGGAGUCUGCAACUCGACUCCGUGAAGUCGGAAUCGCUAGUAAUCGUGGAUCAGAAUGCCACGGUGAAUACGUUCCCGGGCCUUGUACACACCGCCCGUCACACCAUGGGAGUGGGUUGCAAAAGAAGUAGGUAGCUUAACCUUCGGGAGGGCGCUUACCACUUUGUGAUUCAUGACUGGGGUGAAGUCGUAACAAGGUAACC
rnacentral:rRNA from 1 species